GCAGGAUGGCGGCGCUGCGGGGCGACGGCUUCGCCAGGCUUCGGCCCCCACGGGCGCAGCGGACCCCAGGGAGGAAAGACAAAGACACGCCGGUUAGCAACGAGCGGGAACCGCGCGGCCCGGGACCGAGGCGCCGCGUCCCCCGCACCCACCAGUAUUCACUUCAGUGGGACUGAAAGCUAGAGCAAUAGUGUUUGAGGAUGCGGACAGUCUUCCGACUUCCACAGUUCUGAAUGAAUGCAUUUGCUGAUCCUAAAACAGACACGGAAACAACAUGGAUGCACUGAGCAGCAUCAAGUUCCUCUCCGUUAAAUGCUAAAGAAGGUCAGCACCGCUGUCUGCCUUUUCCACGGUAUGUGAAAAACAUACAUCAGUUUUCUGUUAUGAACCAUUUUUUUAGAAAAUUUGAGUCCAAAUAUUUUAUUCUUAUUCCCUUAAAAACGUUUCCCAUUUGUGUGCUCAUCUUGUCACUUAACUCAUUAAGAGGGGGCUUCUCCUACUAUCCAGGUUCUCAUUUUCUCUCUCCCUCCUACCCCUUCUCUCUCUCUCUCUCUCUCUCUCUCUCUCUCUCUCUCUCUCUCUCUCACACACACACACACACACACACACACACACACACACACACAAAGUUUUCUGAGUGCUGUAGUCUGAAAUGAUCAGUUCCUCUUCCAAUCUCUGACUGUUCCUUAAUUCUUGCUGUGAGACCAUUACCACAGUGGUCUGUAUUUUCACAACACUAGGGCAGUCUAUGAUUACCAUUUCCCACUCUUAUUUUGCUUCUCUUAAAAAAAAAGUCCAUCCUCCAGAUGGGUAGAGCAGGACACUAACACCAUUUACUGUUGAUAGGGUGACUGGCUGGCUCAUCUGAAUCGUCUUUCCUGUAUUCACAUUCAUACAAAAGGUUUUUGAUUUGUCCACUGUAUGUGUGCCAGAUCAGCAAUGUCACUGUUGUCUGCUGAAUUAACCAACAUUCUAUCUCUACCCUUAGAUUUUCAAUCAUUAUCUCCCAACACUAUGGCCAACGCCCUACAUUAAGACACUGCCUCCAUCUUAAAAAUAAUUCUCGACUAUGUAAGAAUUAAAUCAGAGCCUGAAAUGAAAAUGAGUGCGAUUAGAUGGAAGAAGUCAUAACCAGCAUCUACUCAAAUAAAACACAAAAUCAAUUAUGAAGCCAAGCAAUAACGUUAAGAUCACAUGUCCCAACAAAUUAGUAUUAUAGAUGGAAGAAGCAUGGGUAAUAUAGUAUUUGGGUAUAAGAAACUAAAGUUUUAAAGUAAUAAAUAUCCUAAGUACAAAAUAGUUGUAAAAUAAUGCAGAGUGAAAUGAUAUUGCCCUAAAUGGUUUAGGAACAUUAAACCUAAAUUAGGUUUAGCCAACAGUAAGGAAGCAAAUGAAAAGAAAAAAUUGGAAAAAUGAAAAUAAUUAGAAUUGUUUGAUUGAAAUCCCUGCUCCCCCUUGCACAAACUAGGAAACCCCGUCUGCCCUACUUUCCCCAACCCUGCCCAUGCAGAGAAAACUCUGACCAAAAGAAUGGCACCCAAGUGCCGGCCCAGGGACCAAGCUCUUGACCAUACUUGGACAUGUCCCAGCUCCUAGCUGGCAUGUCAUCACCCCGCCCUAAGAUCUAUAAACCUCCCUGCCUUAGCUUGGGCAUGUGACUUCUCUGGGACUGGUGAACCUGCCCAGGAGCCACGCCCAAUAAGCCUGCAUAUAUCAGUUUUUAAUCUAGUCUGAUCUAGCCUUUUGCACUGGCAGAAACAUAUCAAAGAUAUAUAAGAUAAAAUAAAAUAGCUAUCUAAUAAAGUGAGGUAGACCCCAAAGCACUUGUGCUGACUAAUAGUGACCAUUCACCUGCUGCGUGCCAGGCACUAAACUACGCUAAUAUACAUUAUCUCAAAUUGUUUUUAUUGAAGUCAGUUUUAUAAAACUAUAGCUUUAGAAAUGUGCUUGAGAAAAUAAUCAUUACCUCCUUAAGUAAAGAAAUCAGGAAAGCAAAAAAAUUGUCAAUGUGCAUGGCCUAAUAUGAGAGGACACCAAAAAAUUAAACUGUCUGGUUUGAGUAGCAACUGUGUUCCUAAGAGAAAGAUGUCACACUAAGCUGGCUCAAUGCUUAUCAAGAGACUAAGCUUACACUAGCAAAGGAGAAGCAUAAACACCAACCAGCCUCAAACGUUUUGAUCUACAACAGUGUCCUGCCUGCAAGAUGUGCUAAGUGCACUGGUGGCACAAAGCUUAUGGGAAGGAGUUAACUAAACAAUACCUGAUUUGACAUAAAGCCCACUCCAUGAGAUGGAACCCAUACCCCACACUGCUUCUGUGAUUAAGAACCUGAGACUAGAUAGCCUAGGGACCUAGGGUAAAAGAAAAUACUACUGUACUAAAACAAACACAACAAAAAUGUGUAGUACUAAAAUGACUCCUACUGACAUUCUGCUGUACUCCUAGAUCAGUGCCUUGCUCAUCCAUCAUCAGAGAAGCUUCCUCCUGCAGCAGAUGGGAGCAAAUACAGAGAUACACAGCCAGACAUUAUGCAGAGAGUGAGACUCUGGGGCACUCAGCCCUAAUGACAUGUCCCCUUCAAAUCUGUCCCCUCAGGACUCAGGAAACCCUGAGAAGAGUUGGAAAGAGUUUAAGAGCCAGAGGAGAUGGAGGACACCAAGGAAACAGGUCCUCUAAUCAAUAGGAUGGAUGCACAUGUGAGUUCACAGAGACAUAGGCAGCAUACACAGGGCCUGCAUGGGUCAGGAUGGAUGUACAUGUGAGUUCACAGAGACACAGGCAGCGUGCACAGGACCUGUAUGGGUCUACACCAGAUAGGGU